ACGUAGGGGGCAAGCGUUAUCCGGAAUUAUUGGGCGUAAAGAGUGCUUAGGCGGUUUUCUAAUCGUGAGGAUAAUUCCAUUAGCUUUACACUUGUAAGGAUUGCGUACUGGAAGAAUUGAGUACAGUAUAGGAAAGAGGAAUUUCUAGUGUAGCGGUGAAAUGCGUAGAUAUUGGGAGGAACACCAGAGGCGAAGGCGACUUGCUGGGCUGUAACUGACGCUCAGUCACGAAAGCGUGGGUAGCAAACAG
rnacentral:rRNA from 1 species